rnacentral:misc_RNA from 1 species
AAGACUAUAGACCUGCGGAGUACCUGCGGAAGGAUCAUUAAAGAGAAAACUGCCCUUUGGGUAGAUUUCCCACCCUUUGUUUACUUUACCUUUGUUGCUUUGGCAGGCCCGUCUUCUGACCACCGGCUUCUAGCUGGUCCGUGCCUGCCAGAGGACCCCCAACUCUUGAUUUUAAGUUGUCCGAGUCUUAUAUAAUAGUAAAAACUUUCAACAAUGGAUCUCUAGAUCGGAAGAGCACAC